GAUGAAGAACGUAGCGAAAUGCGAUAAGUAAUGUGAAUUGCAGAAUUCAGUGAAUCAUCGAAUCUUUGAACGCACAUUGCGCCCCUUGGUAUUCCGAGGGGCAUGCCUGUUCGAGCGUCAUUUCAACCCUCAAGCACAGCUUGGUCUUGGGCUUCGCCGCUAACCCGGCGGGUCUUAAAAUCAGUGGCGGUGCCGUCGGGCCCUGAGCGCAGUAAUCUCUCUUGCUAUAGGGUCCCGGCGGAUGCUGGCCAGUAACCCCCAAUUUUCUAUGGUUGACCUCGGAUCAGGUAGGGAUACCCGCUGAACUUAAGCAUAUCAAUAAGCGGAGGA
rnacentral:misc_RNA from 1 species